GACGCGGCCGCUUAGCUCGUAGCCUUCGCUACCGCGGCCGCGUGGACCAUUCUCUCCUGUGCUCCAAAAGGCGUCCGAAAGCUAGGCUUCGUACUCUCUUCACUCUAUAGGUGACCGUCGUAAUUACAGUAAUGUCUCGUCAAAUUGAUAUACAAAUGCAAUCAAUUUGUGGUUUACAUGUAUAGAGACUUGUGUAAUUAACUCGUGUCUUGUAUCCCUUAUUGUGUUAUAUUUAUUCUGCAAUAUGGCUAAACAUCAUCCAGAUUUGAUUUUCUGCAGAAAACAACCGGGAGUCGCAAUUGGAAGAUUGUGUGAAAAAUGUGAUGGGAAAUGUGUAAUAUGUGAUUCCUAUGUAAGACCAUGUACUCUUGUCAGAAUUUGCGAUGAAUGCAAUUACGGGUCUUAUCAGGGUAGAUGUGUUAUCUGUGGUGGACCUGGUGUUUCCGAUGCCUAUUAUUGUAAAGAAUGCACAAUUCAAGAAAAAGACAGGGACGGUUGUCCAAAAAUUGUUAAUCUUGGAAGCUCAAAGACUGAUCUAUUUUAUGAAAGAAAGAAAUAUGGGUUCAAAAGAAGAUAAGCACAGAACGAGUUAAGAGAGUUUUACGGGAAGCAACGAGUUUUCGCAAGAACAUAUUUUUCGGCGUGAUUAAACAAAUUAUUAAAUCUGUCGAGAGGUAAACGAGGUAAUCUGCUAGAGCUUUCUCGCAAAUAUUCAACUGAACUUGCAGCUCCUCCAACUUUUCUAGAAGCUUUGGACGAUUGGUUGACUUGACGAUGUUUAAAUUGCUCAAUACCUCUCUUAGCAAUUCCUUACAAAUAUAAAUUUAAUAAGUUUAGUAGUUUCUUUUUAUAUACGAUAGUAAACAAAACAACACAAAACACAAUACAAAAAAAAUACUUCUCAAGGUAUUUCCUUAAAAAACAUGUUUAAAAAAUAAUCUUUAAAAAAUAUGUUAUCCUUAAACAUUUUGUAUAUAAUAUUGUCAAAUUAUUUCAACGCGUACUGUCAGAGAAUUGUGUCACUUUUGAGUUAAAGUAACUAAAAAAUGACAUUUUCCGCCAAGAAAUGAGAUUAAAUUAAGAUGACAAUGGGAAAGAGUACU